AUUGAACGCUGGCGGCAUGCCUUACGCAUGCAAGUCGAACGGCAGCACGGGUGCUUGCACCUGGUGGCGAGUGGCGAACGGGUGAGUAAUACAUCGGAACGUACCUUAUCGUGGGGGAUAACGCAGCGAAAGCUGUGCUAAUACCGCAUACGCCCUGAGGGGGAAAGCGGGGGAUCGCAAGACCUCGCGCGAUUAGAGCGGCCGAUGCCUGAUUAGCUAGUUGGUGGGGUAAAAGCCCACCAAGGCGACGAUCAGUAGCUGGUCUGAGAGGACUAUCAGCCACACGGGGACUGAGACACGGCCCAGACUCCUACGGGAGGCAGCAGUGGGGAAUUUUGGACAAUGGGGGCAACCCUGAUCCAGCAAUGCCGCGUGAGUGAAGAAGGCCUUCGGGUUGUAAAGCUCUUUUGUCAGGGAAGAAACACCGGCUCUAACACAGUCCGGGAAUGACGGUACCUGAAGAAUAAGCACCGGCUAACUACGUGCCAGCCGCCGCAGUAA
rnacentral:rRNA from 1 species